GUCACUGAGGCUCAGCAAGUGAAAGCAUCUGCCUCAGAAGCAGAGGAUCCUGGAGACAGCUCCCAGCAGUGCCU
rnacentral:tRNA from 1 species